AUGUGGCCAUGCAAGCUAGGUGGUCAUGGCUACAACGGGUGGACUCGAGCAGACCUUGGAGUGAGUUCACAAUUCAAGUUCCAACAGAUGCACAACUUCUGUUCCAGGCAGCCACCAAGAGCGAGGCGCAUUGUGGAGGAAGCACCCUUUUUUUGGGAAGACCGUUGGAUCAAUGGGAUGAGGGUACAGGAAAUAGCACCAACUAUAUAUGGCAUGAUCCCUCGGCGCGUCAGAUCUAUGAAGCAUGUGGCAUCGGCCAUUGAGGAUGGUUCUUGGGCUAUGGAUGUUGGCCCGGACCUUGGAGAGCAAGCCUUGAGGGAAUUCUUAUCCCUAUGGCUGUGUGUGCACACGUGGGAGCCGGAGGCGGAUGUGCCUGAUAUGAUAGCAUGGUCCUGGGAGACGAACGGACGCUACUCGGUGAGGUCGGCAUAUGCGGCAGGGUUUUGGGGCCGAGAGGUGGCACCUAUGGCGGAGCUGACCUGGACGUCCCGAGCCCCCUCCAACUGCAAGUUCUUCACUUGGCUAGCACUACGAGAUCGGUGCUGGACCUCGGAUAGACUUGCACGAAGAGGGUUACCGCAUCAGGACCCUUGCCCUCUUUGUGACCAGGAGGACGAAAUGAUCAACCAUGUGCUGCUAACAUGUGUGUCCGCUAGGUCCAUAUGGGCUGUGGUCUGUGAGGCAUUGGGCAAGCUAGAUUGGACACCGACGGCACAAGACACGCUUGGCGUUUGGCUUCGGGAUAAACAAGGACCGAAUAACUUGCGGCGCAAGGAUCUUCAUACUAUCUUCAUCCUCACUAUUUGGGAGCUGUGGAAGCAUCGCAAUGCUAUUGUGUUCGAGGGAGCAUCUCCUUCGAUGGAUGUGCUUAUUGCUAGGGUCAAGUCUGAAGGGAAGAUAUGGUCGCUAGCCGGCAAGUUCAAGGAGGACAUUGGACCCUUCUUUGGUAGCUUAGAGAGGUGGGCGCGUAGGGAAGGGUAA
rnacentral:rRNA from 1 species